GAUUCUGGCUCAGAACGAACGCUGGUGGCGUGUCUUAUACAUGCAAGUCGAGCGGUGCAGCAAUGCAUAGCGGCGAACGGGUGAGUAACGCGUAAGCAAUCUGCCCCCCUGCUCGGGAAUAGCCGUGCCAACGCGCGGGUAAUACCGGAUAUGGUGGCCCUGGACAUCCGGGGUUGACAAAAGAUUUAUCGGCAUACGAUGGACCCGCGUUUGAUUAGCUAGUUGGUGAGGUAACGGCUCACCAAGGCGACGAUCAAUAGCCGGCCUGAGAGGGCAAUCGGCCACAUUGGGACUGAGACACGGCCCAAACUCCUACGGGAGGCAGCAGUGGGGAAUAUUGCACAAUGGGGGAAACCCUGAUGCAGCGAACCGCCGCGUGAGUGAAGAAGUAUUUCGGUAUGUAAAGCUCUAUCAGCAGGGAAGAUGAUGACGGUACCUGACUAAGAAGCCCCGGCUAACUACGUGCCAGCAGCCGC
rnacentral:rRNA from 1 species